UACGUAGGGUGCGAGCGUUGCCCGGAUUUAUUGGGCGUAAAGAGCGUGUAGGCGGUCUGGUAGGUCCGUUGUGAAAACUCGAGGCUCAACCUCGAGACGCCGAUGGAAACCAUCAGACUAGAGUCCGGAAGAGGAGAGUGGAAUUCCUGGUGUAGCGGUGAAAUGCGCAGAUAUCAGGAAGAACACCCGUGGCUAAGGCGGCUCUCUAGUACGGUACUGACGCUGAGACGCGAAAGCGUGGGGAGCGAACAGG
rnacentral:rRNA from 1 species